GUUGUAUAAAGUUAAAUUCGAUUAAAUUCUUCUGUUUCGUUGCCAUUCAAUAGUCUAGAAAACUUAUCUUGGAUACACUUAAUGAGUUCUCUUUUUUCGGUUAAUUUACAGCGUUCAGGUGGAAAUUCAAGUAACUUACCGCGAAACCGAAAAUGUUGUUGCGUGUGAAGAACCACGAGCCGCUAGGCGAGUGGAUCUACAACAAACUUUGACAAUAUUAUGACGCAAAUUUGUGGUAUGAUUCUCGCCUUAUCAAGAUUGCAGCGCUGAAUCAGUGCUGAUAUGUUUGACAAAACUUUCGCUGAUUUCGUCAGCUUUCAAAUUUCAUCCGUCUGUACUCUUAUUGACAAUAAAAAUUAGCCAAUUAGCGGGCGAGAAAUCGCUCAGUAAUUGUAAAAAAAGUAUUCGCGUACAAACUCUUCGUGUUUCCAAAUAUGGUAUUUGGCAAAACUGAAUAUUCCAACACUGUGAGCGCGCGUUACACGUUUCAAUCCCUUAUGUGCUUUUGUCUCUUGCAAAUGACGUUAACUUAUUGCGUUCGACGACAGGAGAAGGCAACCUUAAUCUUGUGUAGCUAAGAAAAAUCGAGAUUUUGUGUGUUCUGCAUUUGCCUCGCUUUCGUUUGGACGCAAAUUUGCCUCGCUUUUGUUAUUGGCGUGAUACCUUACAUGGAUUUCCAUCAUGCCACCAUUGUCGACAGGGUGAGGGAUUACCACAAGAGACUCCUCCUUGAGGCUUGGCUCUAUAGGGGAGACUCAACGUGGUCAAUUUCAUAAUAUGGGCGUUGGUCUGACAAACUUCUAAUUUAUACUUCAUUUGUAAAGUUUUUCUAAACCAGUUGCUGAAGAAGUGUACCCUACUGCACAUAACCAGGAUAGAAGGGUAAGGAGUAAUGCUUAAGUUUUAGAAUAUAAGCAGGAAGAAAAAAUGUAUUUAGUAUAGCAACAUAUGAUAAAGUCAUUCAUUGGUGUAAGGCUUCCGAGUUCUACGCUCGCCCUCCUUAACUUUUUGGCCUUCAUUUCAGCGAAAGAACCAAAAAGGCAUUGGCGACAGUUCUCGCAUGAACGCAGAGCAAAGCAAAACACACGGAGAAAAGGAAAGAAAUGCAGGACUACUAGACAAAGUAAAGCAAACCGAACAGCGUCCCCGUACGGAUGAAGAGAGCGUAAAAAAGCACCGUCAGAAAACUGCACGCGGAGAAAAGCAAACCGAACAGCGUCCCCGUACGGAUGAAGAGAGCGUAAAAAAGCACCAUCAGAAAACUGCACGCGGCGAAAAGGUACGUUUAAACACUAAGAUCGUCUUGAGUAUUCAUCAACUUUGACAUCAGAUGGGUCGCGGAAUUGACUAUGCACAUAGUGCAAUGUUCGUUGUAUAGCGCCUGCAUGCUUGUUUAAUCGAGUAUGGCCGUAAAAUUAUUAAAACACACCAUCCGCCCCACGCCC